AAUCUCAAUUGAAGAGCAAUCCUCUGAGAAGGACUGAGGAAAAGCCCCGCAGGGAACCGCUACGCCAGGGUCUACGGCCCUCCCGAAGCUCCGACCAGUUUGGGGCUGCCAGCGACCGGUCUAGCUUGGCCUUUCAGCCAGCCUGAGGCAGGCAGGUAAAGGUCCUGAGGACGCUCCUUUACACAGCCAGCCCCACCCUUGGGAGAGGCUGCCUGUUGCUAGGUGGAGCAGUUUGCCAGGGAUAUUAAAAGCCGGGUGAAGGAAGCCAGAGCCAGCUUCUACAGCAGAGCUAAGAACUAAGGGGGCUCCGGGGUAGGGUAGGGGCGGGGUCGUGUAGAACAGAGCCGACUGCAGACUUCCUGAAGCUAAAAAUCAGGAGAGAAGGCCAGGACAUCGAACUUCUCUCAUUCACAGCCAUCGCUCCGCUUUUGGGGUUCCUUCAACCGGGUUGCUCCGAUUAGAAAUUCCCAGGGCGAAUUUGAUGCUUCUAAGGCCGCAGACGUCCUCCAGACGAACAGAAGCGCCAGAUAAUUGAGACAACCCACAAGCUCCAGCCAGGGCAGAAAAGUAAACUAGUAGUUACAGACACACAUUUUAAGGAGGCACGUGUCUCGGAGUCAUGCAGGGGCAGGAUCUGGCCCUGAGAGUGCAUAUCUCCUUAAAUGUUGCACCCACUCUCUGCUCACUUGGCCGCCUCCACAAUCCUAGGCUUGACUAGGAGUGGGACUUCAAAAGCAGGAACUUUCCAUUCCUUGCAGGAUGCAAGCUUGCCUCCUCUGUAUGGAAACUCGCGGGUCCUCUAGUUUUGUGAAGCCACAUGCAUGCCUGGUACCUGGAGAGGUCGGAGAACCUCGGAGUCACUGGAACUGAAGUUACAGAUGGCUGUGAGCACCUUUGAUGUGGACAUAGGAACUAAACCUGGAUUCUCCUUUAUGGCUUCCAGAGUGUCUACCCCGGGCAGCUGUUGUGUAAGCUGUGAGCCAUCUGAUAGUGGGUAAGAGCACCGACUGCUCUUCCAAAGGUCCUGAGUUCAAAAUCCAGCAACCACAUGGUGGCUCA